rnacentral:snRNA from 1 species
AACCUUGCCCAGUGGCAAUAUCGUAGUAACCAAUGAAGGCCUCCUGAGGUGCGAUUAUUGCUAGUUGAAAACUUUUACCUACCAUUAUAAGUAACAAUCCAAAAUAUGAACUGUUAUAUCUCUAAGGUACAAAAAUAC